rnacentral:misc_RNA from 1 species
CGCACCUUUGCACCUUCUGGUAUUCCGGAAGGUACACCUGUUUGAGUGUCAUUAAAUAAUCAAUCCAUUCAACUUUGCUGUCUGUCUGGAUUGGAUGUGGAGGUUUGCUGGCUGCUCCAUUGUGGUCCGCUCCUUUCAAAUGCAUUAGCUUUGGGACAACUAGCUGUUCUAAUAUUUAUGCCUCCUGGUGUGAUAACUAUCUACGCCGUUGGUUGAAGGAACUUGAUGAAUGUCUUAGCUUCUAAUCGUCCUUUAACUGGGACUAGUCCUUUCAGGGCUAUAAAUGACUAUUGUGACCUCAAAUCAGGUGGGACUACCCGCUGGACUUAA